rnacentral:lncRNA from 1 species
CAUCCGGACUCCUACGGGAGCCCACGACUUCAAUCACAGGUAGACUUCGUCCGGACUCCUACGGGAGCUGGACUCUACCCACGACUUCAAUUACAGGUAGACUUCGUCCGGACUCCUACGGGAGCCGGACUUCGCCCCCAACUCCUAUUACGGGUAGACAACGCCCGAACUCCUACGGGAGCCAGAUCUCAUCCCCAACUCCAGC